AGCUCCAAUAGCGUAUAUUAAUGUUGUUGCAGUUAAAAAGCUCGUAGUUGGAUUUCUUUUAUAUAAGAUGGGUUUUGAUGUCGUGGGUAACUUCUGUUAUUCGCCAUCUUCCACUCGUAUAAAAAUUAUUUGUAAUCUUUUGUAUUUGGAUGAUUCAUUUCUGUUAUUAAUUUAAUAGUUUUGGAAAGUUCUGUACAUUUAAAAGUUUGCAUCAUUUACUGUGAAAAAAUCAAAGCGUUCAAAGCAGGCUUUAUGCUCUCUGAAUGUUUCAGCAUGGAAUAAUAAGAUAGGUUAGCUCCUCAUUUUGUUGGUUUACAAGGUGUUAAAAUGAUUAAAAGGGACAAUUGGGGGAAUUCGUAUUGGGAUGUCAGAGGUGAAAUUCUUGGAUUUUCUCAAGACG
rnacentral:rRNA from 1 species